rnacentral:rRNA from 1 species
GAGAGUUAAACAGUACGUGAAAUUGUUGAAAGGGAAACGAUUGAAGCCAGUCGUACCUUCGGGUAAUCAGCCUUUCGGGUGCGAUUAUGUGGAGUGUGAGGAGCUUAAACACCUUCAUGUUUUGCAUAUUCGUACUCUUGGGUGUACUUGCCCGUGUGGUUGGUUAACAUCAAUUUUGGUGGUCAUAAAAUGACUGGAGGAAUGUAGCUUCGAUCUCGUAUUGAAGUGUUAUAGCCUUCGGUAGAUGUGAUGAUCGAGAUUGAGGAUUGCAACGGAUACCCUUCGGGGCUACCUGUCUGGUCUCUGAUCGUUGCUCUGGUGCCGAAAGCUUGCUUACGGUUAUCAAAGUCGAUGGUCAAUAGGUUAGAACGGGUUAAAUUCGUUAAGGAUGUUGACGUAAUGGCUUUAAACGA